GCGGAAUUGAUGGAAUUGGCAGACAUGCAAGAUUUAGGUUCUUGUGCUGCGAGGCGUGAGGGUUCAAGUCCCUCAUUCCGCA
rnacentral:tRNA from 1 species